GCUCAGAUGUACUUGGAGACUGUUUACAAGGAAUGUGUAGACUGCCAUUUUGUGAUGAAGAGCUUUAUUGAAAGCUGGUCUCUGCAAGCUGCAGCAGUGUCUUUUGAGGUUCAAUGUGCCAUAUAAAACCCUCUGCCAGGUUUUGAGAUUGUUGCAAGAUGUAUGCCCAUGUGAUUCCAUAGACCAGCUGACUUCUGAUUUUCAAUGCAGUUCAGUUUUUCAUUUCCUGUAGAGACCAGUCUCUUCAAAAAGAUGGAUUUCCUGACAAUAGACUGGGCAAGAUUACACUUCAUGUUUACUGUCACUGACAAAUUGAAGUCACCGUUGAACUAACAGUAACUGAUACAACAGACUAAAUGGCACUCCAUCAGCAGAAUAGUUAUCUUUGGACUGAAUCUGACCAUGGAAUCCUCCCCAGCUCGCUCUGGCUAAAUGAAUGUCAUAAUCAAGAAUAAUGGUUUGUCUUGUGUGCCUACCAAAUGCAGGUACAUAAGAAAUUACUUGGACCACUGGAGACAGCUGCAAGAGAUGUGUUGUGGCAAGAUCAAUAAUGCUGACUUAACUCUCAUCUAGUUCACAAGUUUCCUUUGGGAAGGAAAUCUGUCAUCCAUGCCUGUCCUACGUGUAACUCCAGAGCCAUGGCAAUGCAGUUGACUCUUGAAUGCCCUCUGAAAUGGAUCAAGCCACUCAGUUCAAGCACAAUUAGAGAUGGGCAACAAAUGCUGGUCUUGGUAACAUCCACAUUCCAUGAAAGAAAAGUCAUCCUUAUUCAGCUGCCUUGCCCCUACAGUACAGGUCACCAACAUGGAGAUAAGGGAGCUCUGACAUCCAAGCCCUUAGCUAAGAUGUGAACCCAACAGGCACUGCAGUUGUGGUCAAGAUAUAAACACCUAUCUUUUUUUCCUGUUUUAAUAUCAAGAUUCUGGGAGAGGUUGCUACUCUUGUUAAAAGUAAGCAACCAGCACACUGCUAAACUUGUUUUUCACUAGUAAGACUUUAAGUUCUAUACAAAACAUUGCCUUUCGCUGGCAAGUGAAAGUACCUGGAGAAGAGUUUCUUGAACAAGUCCUGACAAGCCAAUAAGAUGGCAGCAGACUCUGGACAAGAGGCUCUUGAAUUAACUUCCUAGAUUUUCCUUCCACCCAUAACACCAAUGUUCUUGUCUGUGUGCAAGGGUGGAGUUUUCUAAGGGGAUUUACAGAUUUGGGCUCUUCUUAAUUUGAAGCUAGAAUCUAUUUUUCUAAUCUGAUAAUUCUUGAGUAUAAAAACCCAGUAUGUUUAAUUGAUCUGGGUCUGAAAAGACUGCAUUGGGAAUUUUGUGCUUUUGUAUAAAAUCUCAAUUUGAGGGGAAUAGUGGGGCUUGAUUUCCAGUGUAAUACCCAAUGAAGCAUAAAAAUAAAAUGGACAUGGCCAAAUGUUA